rnacentral:misc_RNA from 1 species
ACACCUCAACUCUUGCGGUUUUGCCGUGAUGAGCUUGGACUUUGGGGGUCUUGCUGGCCUGUGGUCAGCUCCUCUCAAAUGAAUCAGCUUGCCAGUGUUUGGUGGCGUCACGGGUGUGAUAACUAUCUACGCUUGUGGCUUCCACCAGGUAACCUUCAGUGAUGAAGGUUCGCUGGAGCUCAUAAACGUCUCUCCUCAGCGAGGACAGCUUCUUGAAC